CGACAAGUCGCCCCGCACUUGUGUCGCCCGGUGGCCGGGGACCAGGAGCCGGCGUGACCGGCUGCCGCCCCACUUGUGACUCUUCGGUGGGACCGGCAGGCAAGAGGGCGCCAGAGGUGCCUCCAGCACCCCCAUACGAGAAACCUGUAUUCUAUUGGUCAUGGACUGCGCAUGGCAGGUGUGGUGAAAAGCUCCCGUAUGUCACGGCUGGACUCCUGUUGUACUACCCUAAGGCCAAGGGUUGAAAUCUUAAAAUAGUAAGUCUGUGCAACGAGAGUAUAGUAAUACAAGAAAGGGAGGACGCCAGCAAAACCUCAUCUCUACUAUCAGCUGCUGCUCUUCGGUUCUGUCCUUUCCCCUGUACCCAGGUAUACCCCUGUUCUGCAGGACUAAUCCAGAAGAAAUAAAUGACCGUCAAGCUCUUCAAGAGUAAACUGACCAAAGA